UAGGCUCAGUAGUUCUAGAAUAUCCUGGCCCCUUGGAUGGGAAGGACCAGCCAGGACCACUGCUGCUGCACAGCUCUUUGGGGUUUCCCUCCUUCCCCUCUUCUUCCCUAUUCUUUAUGGGGCCAAGGCUCAGAAAAGUUUCUGGAGGGGGUGUCUGCAAACUUCUCCUUCACAGGACUACCCACUUACCCAGCCUGCUUCCUUUCCUUAACCCCUUUGGACCACAACCACCUGGCCGCUGCUAUGUAGUUAUGAAGGCUCCAGAGGUCUUCUGAGACCCCCCACCUCCCUGCUCUUCUGACUGAUGGCACUCCUCACCAGGCUCACAGCUUCCAUCCUGCCAUGACCCCAACACCCAUCUUGGUGCCCUCCCUGCAGCCCACAUGCUCACUGCCUUGGGGUCAGCCAGGCUCGCUCUGUCCCUGGAGCUUCCUGCAGCCCUACCCUCUUCCUGAAGAAUCCCGGGGGCUCCUUGGUGCUUGUGAGGAGCCUGGCCUCCUCCUGCCAUUCAAGGUCCUCCAAACUCUACCAGCCUCUGUCCAAGUGAUUUGAAUCAGAGCUCCCCAGGGCUCGUUGGGAUGAAACACCCUCUGUAGACACCCUGACUCCCCUGCACCCAUCUCCUAUAGGAGAGGGAGUGGGAGGACAGAAGAGGCAGAUGGAUGGGGUGUCUGCACAGCUUGAGGGGCAAGGUGUGGGGGCAGGCAGAGAGGGCAGACCCCAGGAUGGACAGAUGGACAAGGUAUCCAGCUCUCCCCUUUCCUGAACGGCCACAGGAGGAAUGAGGUCGCUGCACCAUGCCUCUCGGAGAGAUGCUGAGAGUGUGAAUGAGAACAGCUUGUGAGGGGCUCUGACGAAGCGGCCUGGGGAGGAGAACUUUCGUAACCUUCCGGACCUGGCAUUGAACCAGAGGACAAAUCACAUGACCCAAGUUACUCUGCCCUUUUAGCUUUCCUGGAUCACAACCCAAAUGUUCUUACACUCUGCAGGGGCUCUCUAAUCUGGUGAGGGGACAUGGAUGUGUCAGGGGAGGGCAUGAGGGUUCUGAGCUGCAUAGUGUAUAUGACAUCUUAUGGGUAUGCGCACACGUACAUUUUGUCCUAGAAUGUCUACAGCUUCUUGAAGGGGUCUGUGACCCAUAAAAGGGUCUAACUUGGUACGAGGCUAUCCAGACUGGACCCACAUUUGCUGUUUACUCCCAGCAAAUCUGGUUCUAAGUUUAAGGACUGUCAACAUUCACCCUGAAGAAUCCCCACCUCUUCACUUUGAAACCUUAAUACUGAACCUGCUUUGGGAGGCUUGAGAUCAAACCUGCCAGGCAGGUGCACGCUCUAUCCUUCUCUUCUUCCCAGGCCAGCCUCGGUUUCCCUGGACCUGCCUUAUGUUACAGCCACACCCCACACUUCAGGGAAUGUUCCCAGCAACAGGGAAAUCAUCUGCCCCAUGCACAUAUCCUGCAUCUCAGGAGCCCCUUCUCCAAGAUUUUCUUUACAUUUUAAUUUAGCUGCAUGGACAUCUGCUCGUAUAGGAGUUUUCAUGUGUUUCCUGGACCCACAUACAGUUUCCUAACGUGACGUACAAACAGGGUCGUUCCUGCGAUAACGUCAGUGAUUACGGCCAAAUGGCUUCUUUCUUGGUCUUGUCUACCUUCCUCCUCAAUCCUCCUAACCCUGAAAGCUGACCUCAGGAUGCUCAUGAAGACCGAGUACAGCAAAAAAAGGAGGUUUCCUCAAGGGUUGCCUUGUCCCACAAGAACUUUACCUUAUUUUUUCACAUGUAAUAUGUUCCUGAAAGUGUCCAUGAAUACCAAAUGUUCCAAAGUUGGGUUCCUUGUGCUACAGGAGAGGUACUGGUUAAGAGCAUGGUUCUUACUUGGUGGCAUGGGCAUAGAUCUGCCACUUGCCUGGUAUGUGGUUGAGAGAACGCUCUGCACCUCAGUUUUCUGAAAACGGGAAUGUUUAUAGUAACUAUCUUGCAGGGUUCUUGUGCAAAUUAAGUGAUUUAAUGUAUUGAAAGCACAGAAACAGUGCUUUCUGAAGCAGGGUCUUACCCAUUGUAUGUGUUAGCAAUUAUUGUAUGUUUUAAGGUGGGUUCUAUACUCAGCUGAAAAAAAGAUUGACUCCCUAAUUAUAUUUUGCCUCUAAGACACAAUCACUCACGAUCUAUUCUAAGGCUUUGUUUUCUAUCCCUCACGAGUGAAUCCAGUCAACCAUCUCAAGACCAAUGAGCACUCAGCUGAAGCCAAAGGUUUGCUGCUUUCAGCCAGCUGAUGACUUUUAUCUUAGUUCCAAUUGUGUUAAGUUUGUGAAACUUCUGUUUCUUAUUACUGUGCCUGCACUUUUAUUCUCCUGUUUUUGCUCAUUUUUUGCAUGCACAACCACAACAAUGUAUUCAAACAAUUACAUCAACAUGGUGUAGAGCACAGGCCAAGUGGAAUGGCAGUACUUCAAAAAUGGGACUGUUGGCCAAAGGUUUGUGUCACCUCAUGACAUCUCAGCAUGUUUGCUGGUGGAUGUGCAAAAGUUGGAAUUUGGUGAAGGAAAACCAAUUUAGGAAUGUCGAAGUCCAAACUAUGAUGGUGGUGAUAGUUCAGAAGCCAAAGACCAUUGAGGCUGGGACAUAUGCUUGGGUUCAGGUCGUGAUCUGCUUGUCGAAAGGACAAUUUGUGACCAGGAAGUUGGAGACAGUCAUCCUUCACCUUAAUAGUAGACCCAUUCCAAGAGAGCUGGCUAUAAAGCAACCAUUCAUAAUGUGAAUCAUGUAGUGUUUUUUUUUUUAAUUCCAUUAUAAAGGUAAGCUGGUCUUCUAAAGAAAAUGGAUGGCUUUGACAAGUUUGGUGACAGGUAUGUCUAUGUCAUGCUGGGAUUGUGGUGAGAGAGAUUUGAGAACACUUUUAAUAAUUAUCUGUUCCUUCCUGUAGCAGAAACGUAAUAGGGGGAGAUUCUUAAAUGGAAUUGUGAGUUCUGCUGUGUACUCUGCUUAAGAAGUUCUGGGGAGCAGUGGACACUCAAGGCUGCCUCCUCAGUGUGGCCUGGGUCCCUCUUCCCUUUUGUUCUCCGGGAGAACAUCUUACAUUAUAGCUGAUAACUCACUACCAUCCAUUCUUUAUUCCACAUUCCUUUGUUUAGUUUUGUGAUUGGGGUGAGUGAGACAGCGUUGGAGUUCUUCACUCUCCUUACAGUUAGGGUUUAUAUAAUCUUGGUAUUCUCCAAGACUACCAAGCCCAACGCGGGGCCUGAACUCAUGACCCUGAGAUUAAGACCUGAACUGAGAUCAAGAGUCAGACACUUAGGGGAGCCUGGGUGGCUCAGUCAGUUGGGCGUCCGACUCUUGGUUUCGGGUCAGGUCAUGAUCUCGGGGUCAUGGGAUUAAGCUCCACAUUGGGCUCCACGCUCAGUGGGGAAUCUGCUGGAGAUUCUCUCCCUCUCCCUCUCUUUCUGCCCCUCCCCCCACUCACAUGCUCUCUCUCUCAAAAUAAAUAAAUAAAUCUUAAGAAAAAAAGAGUUGGAUGCUUAACCAGUGAGCCACCCAGGCAACUCGAUAUUCUCCUUACUUUGAUGGCUGGAUCCUAGAUGUUGGAGAGGACACAUGUGACUCUGAACAAGUGUGUCUGGUGAUGGACAUCAAGGGAAGCCUGAUGCCCAUGGAGGAUUUCACCUGUCGACAGGAUGGCCCUGUAUACAGAAGCAACCAAGAGCCCCAGUCAGGGGAUACCAUCACCAGAUAGCACUUCAUAGGGACAAAACACUGAAUUCCUUCUUUGCCCUCUCGUGUUGGCAUACGAGUGCAACAAUGCCUUCCAAGCUUCUACAGGCCAGCCUGGCUGCCACUGUCCCUAGAUGUUUCUGGGGACUCCAAGAGGUUUCAGACUGAGGAGAGCCCAGUCUUGUGGUCCUGGCCAGGUCAGGUUAGGUGGUUCGAGGAGCUCACACCUACCUCCUCUGUCCCGGAUGCCUGUACAUUGGUCAGAGUUCAUGGAGUGGGAUGCCAUGUCACAUUCUACUGGUGACGAGGGGCAGCAAUAAGGCCAUUUGACUGGCCCCUUCCAUCCCUGAUGUUGCACAACCCGUGACUCUAUAAUGACCCCUGUCAGAAGCCAGGAGAGGCAAGAUGAGGACCAGGGCAAAAAGAUAGUCAACUCCAGCAAGAGGUCAGGACACUGGACCUGCUAACCAAGCUGAAAUGCUUCCUGCAUACCAAAGGCUCAAGGAGAAUAGAAAAGAGCAAAUCUCCCGGACCUCCUGGAAAGUCCCUGCCAGGCUGACAAUCUCUCUACUUUCAAGAUGUAAAAGGUGUAUUCCCCGAGAUAGACUCACUCAUCUUCAAUCAUUUUCCACCAUCUCCAGUCACAAGCAGCAUCGAAGGUGAUGAAUUAGGACUCGAUGGACAUGUUUUCCUCCAGAGCAGCGUGUUAAACCCAAAGCAGCUCCCGGCUCCGUCAAAAUCAGAUUAACCGAGAAAAGCCCUCCGCGGCAGAGCCCUGGGGUCUCCCCCAGUGCCACCUGGGCCGCUCUUCUCUGAAACACAGUCAAAUGAGGGUGGAGAACUCAUUGUUUUUUAUCAAGGACAUGACCCACAGGAUGGAAAAAUGAAUCCAUGGGGAAAGCCUCUAGAUUUAUUAUUUGCCAGUGAAAGCAAAAAGCUGGUUCGAGGGAGAGGCAGGAAAAGAAGAAUGGAGAGGGACCCCUGGCAGGAGGCUUAGAGGAUGAUGGUUUGAGCCAGUUCAAGGAAUAUUUGGUGCCAAUGGUGAAGAUCAUAGCCAGAAAGGAGAAGGCCAAGUUAAGAAAAUGUUCAUGCUCUUUGCAAUGGAAAAAACAUGAAGAUAAACCAAGAAGCUCAGUUCCAGCUGCUGUGGGUGUGAGGUGAGAGAAACAGCAUUGGGCCUGGAAAGAGAGGGCCUGGGUGUCUCUCCUACCUUGGUCUCCAAGGAACCUGCAGAACCACAUCUGUAAAAAGGAGACAAUAAUGUAUUCUUUGCUGGAUUAAAUAAGCUCACGAAUAAAAAUUUUGAAAAGCACUAUACAAUAGAAGCUAUAUUUAGAGAGUUGGAGUUAUGCAUACCUAUGAAUAAUUGAUUGACAGUAUAAAACUACAAUACUAGAGAUGUCCCAGGUUAGGAGAGAAAAGAGGCUGACUGAGAUGCUAUGAUUUGGGACCUACAAUUUAGACAUGUAUCAGUUAGGAUUGGUUUGGCUUCUUCCUACAGCCAAAGUAAUAGUGGCCUAAAUAAGAAGUUGUCUUGCUCUCAUUUAAGGUGCAAAAGUAGGCAGUCCAGAACUUGUGAGGCAGUCUUAUGGUGUCAGGAACCCAGGAUAGUUAUUUUGUUCCAUUAUCUUUGCAAGAAGCCUCUAUUCUACAAAGUUACCUUAUGGUCCAAAAUGGCUGCUAAGCCUCCAGCCAUUAUAUCUGCAUUCCAGGCACGUGAAAGGGAAAAGGAGCAAAGAAGAAGACACACACCAGCAGCCUCUUAAGAAAAUUUCUUAGGAGCUGGCUCCAAAUACUGUUAUUUAGUUAACUAAGUAAAAUUUAAAUUAAAACAAUAAGUAAUAAAAAAUGUUUUAAAAACCCACAAAUAAUUGGCUAUACAUAGCAGCAGAGGAGGCUGAGAAAGUCAAUCUUUAUCCCGAAUGGCCAUGUGCCCAGCUAAAACCAAGAAGUUCUGUUUUUAUUUUAAAGAGGACAAUGAAUAUUACAAUAGGCAACUAGCUAUGCUACACUAAGUAGCAAAUU